rnacentral:rRNA from 1 species
AUGAACGCUAGCGGCAGGCCUAACACAUGCAAGUCGAGGGGCAUCACGAGGUAGCAAUACUUUGGUGGCGACCGGCGCACGGGUGCGUAACGCGUAUGUAACCUACCUAUAACAGGGGCAUAACACUGAGAAAUUGGUACUAAUUCCCCAUAAUAUUCGGAGAGGCAUCUCUCCGGGUUGAAAACUCCGGUGGUUAUAGAUGGACAUGCGUUGUAUUAGCUAGUUGGUGAGGUAACGGCUCACCAAGGCAACGAUACAUAGGGGGACUGAGAGGUUAACCCCCCCACACUGGUACUGAGACACGGACCAGACUCCUACGGGAGGCAGCAGUGAGGAAUAUUGGUCAAUGGACGCAAGUCUGAACCAGCCAUGCCGCGUGCAGGAAGACGGCUCUAUGAGUUGUAAACUGCUUUUGUACGAGGGUAAACUCACCUACGUGUAGGUGACUGAAAGUAUCGUACGAAUAAGGAUCGGCUAACUCCGUGCCAGCAGCCGCGGUAAUACGGAGGAUUCAAGCGUUAUCCGGAUUUAUUGGGUUUAAAGGGUGCGUAGGCGGUUUGAUAAGUUAGAGGUGAAAUCCCGGGGCUUAACUCCGGAACUGCCUCUAAUACUGUUAGACUAGAGAGUAGUUGCGGUAGGCGGAAUGUAUGGUGUAGCGGUGAAAUGCUUAGAGAUCAUACAGAACACCGAUUGCGAAGGCAGCUUACCAAACUAUAUCUGACGUUGAGGCACGAAAGCGUGGGGAGCAAACAGGAUUAGAUACCCUGGUAGUCCACGCAGUAAACGAUGAUAACUCGUUGUCGGCGAUACACAGUCGGUGACUAAGCGAAAGCGAUAAGUUAUCCACCUGGGGAGUACGUUCGCAAGAAUGAAACUCAAAGGAAUUGACGGGGGCCCGCACAAGCGGAGGAACAUGUGGUUUAAUUCGAUGAUACGCGAGGAACCUUACCCGGGCUUGAAAGUUACUGACGAUUCUGGAAACAGGAUUUCCCUUCGGGGCAGGAAACUAGGUGCUGCAUGGUUGUCGUCAGCUCGUGCCGUGAGGUGUCGGGUUAAGUCCCAUAACGAGCGCAACCCCUACCGUUAGUUGCCAUCAGGUCAAGCUGGGCACUCUGGCGGGACUGCCGGUGUAAGCCGAGAGGAAGGUGGGGAUGACGUCAAAUCAGCACGGCCCUUACGUCCGGGGCUACACACGUGUUACAAUGGUAGGUACAGAGGGUCGCUACCCCGCGAGGGGAUGCCAAUCUCGAAAGCCUAUCUCAGUUCGGAUUGGAGGCUGAAACCCGCCUCCAUGAAGUUGGAUUCGCUAGUAAUCGCGCAUCAGCCAUGGCGCGGUGAAUACGUUCCCGGGCCUUGUACACACCGCCCGUCAAGCCAUGGAAGCUGGGGGUGCCUGAAGUUCGUGACCGCAAGGAGCGACCUAGGGCAAAACCGGUAACUGGGGCU